CUGUGAGCUCGAUGAGUAGGGCGGGACACGUGGUAUCCUGUCUGAAUAUGGGGGGACCAUCCUCCAAGGCUAAAUACUCCUGACUGACCGAUAGUGAACCAGUACCGUGAGGGAAAGGCGAAAAGAACCCCGGCGAGGGGAGUGAAAAAGAACCUGAAACCGUGUACGUACAAGCAGUGGGAGCACGCUUAGGCGUGUGACUGCGUACCUUUUGUAUAAUGGGUCAGCGACUUAUAUUCUGUAGCAAGGUUAACCGAAUAGGGGAGCCGAAGGGAAACCGAGUCUUAACUGGGCGUUAAGUUGCAGGGUAUAGACCCGAAACCCGGUGAUCUAGCCAUGGGCAGGUUGAAGGUUGGGUAACACUAACUGGAGGACCGAACCGACUAAUGUUGAAAAAUUAGCGGAUGACUUGUGGCUGGGGGUGAAAGGCCAAUCAAACCGGGAGAUAGCUGGUUCUCCCCGAAAGCUAUUUAGGUAGCGCCUCGUGAAUUCAUCUCCGGGGGUAGAGCACUGUUUCGGCAAGGGGGUCAUCCCGACUUACCAACCCGAUGCAAACUGCGAAUACCGGAGAAUGUUAUCACGGGAGACACACGGCGGGUGCUAACGUCCGUCGUGAAGAGGGAAACAACCCAGACCGCCAGCUAAGGUCCCAAAGUCAUGGUUAAGUGGGAAACGAUGUGGGAAGGCCCAGACAGCCAGGAUGUUGGCUUAGAAGCAGCCAUCAUUUAAAGAAAGCGUAAUAGCUCACUGGUCGAGUCGGCCUGCGCGGAAGAUGUAACGGGGCUAAACCAUGCACCGAAGCUGCGGCAGCGACGCUUAUGCGUUGUUGGGUAGGGGAGCGUUCUGUAAGCCUGUGAAGGUGUGCUGUGAGGCAUGCUGGAGGUAUCAGAAGUGCGAAUGCUGACAUAAGUAACGAUAAAGCGGGUGAAAAGCCCGCUCGCCGGAAGACCAAGGGUUCCUGUCCAACGUUAAUCGGGGCAGGGUGAGUCGACCCCUAAGGCGAGGCCGAAAGGCGUAGUCGAUGGGAAACAGGUUAAUAUUCCUGUACUUGGUGUUACUGCGAAGGGGGGACGGAGAAGGCUAUGUUGGCCGGGCGACGGUUGUCCCGGUUUAAGCGUGUAGGCUGGUUUUCCAGGCAAAUCCGGAAAAUCAAGGCUGAGGCGUGAUGACGAGGCACUACGGUGCUGAAGCAACAAAUGCCCUGCUUCCAGGAAAAGCCUCUAAGCAUCAGGUAACAUCAAAUCGUACCCCAAACCGACACAGGUGGUCAGGUAGAGAAUACCAAGGCGCUUGAGAGAACUCGGGUGAAGGAACUAGGCAAAAUGGUGCCGUAACUUCGGGAGAAGGCACGCUGAUAUGUAGGUGAAGUCCCUCGCGGAUGGAGCUGAAAUCAGUCGAAGAUACCAGCUGGCUGCAACUGUUUAUUAAAAACACAGCACUGUGCAAACACGAAAGUGGACGUAUACGGUGUGACGCCUGCCCGGUGC
rnacentral:rRNA from 1 species